CCUACGGGAGGCUGCAGUGAGGAAUAUUGGUCAAUGGGAGGAAUCCUGAACCAGCCAUGCCGCGUGCAGGACGACGGCCCUAUGAGUUGUAAACUGCUUUUGUACCGGGGUAAAAUGCUCUACGAGUAGGGUUUUGAAAGUACGGUACGAAUAAGGAUCGGCUAACUCCGUGCCAGCAGCCGCGGUAAUACGGAGGAGCCGUGCGUUAGCCGGAUUCAUUGGGUUUAAAGGGUGCGUAGGUUGUUUAAUAAGUUAAUGGUGAAAUACGGAUGCUCAACAUCGGUGCUGCCGAUACUGUAGGACUGGAGUGCGGAUGCAGCGGGCGGAAUGUGUGGUGUAGCGGUGAAAUGCAUAGAUAUUACACAGAACACCGAUUGCGAAGGCAGCUUACUAGUCCGGAUCUGACACUGAUGCACGAAAGCGUGGGGAUCAAACAGGAUUAGAUACCCUAGUAGUC
rnacentral:rRNA from 1 species